AUUGAACGCUGGCGGCAUGCCUUACACAUGCAAGUCGAACGGCAGCGGGCCUUCGGGUGCCGGCGAGUGGCGAACGGGUGAGUAAUGCAUCGGAACGUGCCAUUGAGUGGGGGGAUAACGUAGCGAAAGUUGCGCUAAUACCGCAUAUUCUGUGAGCAGGAAAGCAGGGGACCGCAAGGCCUUGCGCUCUUUGAGCGGCCGAUGUCAGAUUAGCUAGUUGGUGAGGUAAAGGCUUACCAAGGCGACGAUCUGUAGCGGGUCUGAGAGGAUGAUCCGCCACACUGGAACUGAGACACGGUCCAGACUCCUACGGGAGGCAGCAGUGGGGAAUUUUGGACAAUGGGGCAACCCUGAUCCAGCCAUGCCGCGUGAGUGAAGAAGGCCU
rnacentral:rRNA from 1 species